GAUGAACGCUGGCGGCGUGCCUAAUACAUGCAAGUCGAGCGAACAGACGAGGAGCUUGCUCCUCUGACGUUAGCGGCGGACGGGUGAGUAACACGUGGAUAACCUACCUAUAAGACUGGGAUAACUUCGGGAAACCGGAGCUAAUACCGGAUAACAUGUUGAACCGCAUGGUUCAACAGUGAAAGACGGUUUUGCUGUCACUUAUAGAUGGAUCCGCGCCGCAUUAGCUAGUUGGUAAGGUAACGGCUUACCAAGGCAACGAUGCGUAGCCGACCUGAGAGGGUGAUCGGCCACACUGGAACUGAGACACGGUCCAGACUCCUACGGGAGGCAGCAGUAGGGAAUCUUCCGCAAUGGGCGAAAGCCUGACGGAGCAACGCCGCGUGAGUGAAGAAGGUCUUCGGAUCGCAAAACUCUGUUAUUAGGGAAGAACAAAUGUGUAAGUAACUAUGCACGUCUUGACGGUACCUAAUCAGAAAGCCACGGCUAACUACGUG
rnacentral:rRNA from 1 species